UACGAAGGGGGCUAGCGUUGCUCGGAAUCACUGGGCGUAAAGCGCACGUAGGCGGAUCUUUAAGUCAGGGGUGAAAUCCUGGAGCUCAACUCCAGAACUGCCUUGAUACUGGGAUCUCGAGUCCGGGAGAGGUGAGUGGAACUCCGAGUGUAGAGGUGAAAUUCGUAGAUAUUCGGAAGAACACCAGUGGCGAAGGCGGCUCACUGGCCCGGUACUGACGCUGAGGUGCGAAAGCGUGGGAGCAACAGGG
rnacentral:rRNA from 1 species